AGCUCCAAUAGCGUAUAUUAAAGUUGCUGCCGUUAAAAAGCUCGUAGUCGAACUUCGGCCUCUGUCUGCCGGUCCGCCUUUUUGGUGUGUACUGGUUAUGACGGUGGCUUACCUCUUGGUGAGGCCUCAUGCUCUUAACUGGGUGUGGGGUUGAACCCGGACUUUUACUUUGAAGAAAUCAGAGUGUUCAAAGCAGGCUUACGCCCGAAUGUGUUAGCAUGGAAUAAUAGAAUAGGACGAGCGUUUCUAUUUUGUUGGUUUCUAGGAUCGCCGUAAUGAUUAAUAGGGAUAGUCGGGGGCAUUCGUAUUCAAUUGCUAGAGGUGAAAUUCUUGGAUUUAUUGAAGACGAACUACUGCGAAAGCAUUUGCCAAGGAUGUUUUCA
rnacentral:rRNA from 1 species